rnacentral:misc_RNA from 1 species
AAAAAAGUGAUACUGUUACAGUUUUUUUUGAAAGAAGAAAAUCAAGGGUUUCUACUGUGAUUUUUGCUUCACGUUGAGAUCAGGAAUGAGGAGAAACCCAAAAGCUUCAAUCGACCCGAUCCGCGCAAGCAAGAGGAUAGCCAAAGCAAAAAAUGUGAUGAAUCCGAUAGUUGCCAUUGAAGCAAUAAAUAAGAGGAACCCUGAAGUUGCCGGAUCGGAAGUAAUUACAAGGAAGACAACAGUGGUUCCAGAAAUUGCUGAUGAGUCAACAUUGACGAAGAAGAUCAAAGCAUCCAAUAAAACAGCCGAUACGAAGAGAGGCAAAAGGCCCUUUGCAAGUAAAGUUCCAGAGACAGAUAGCAACUACAAAACUCUGUAUUUUGACUCGCAAAAAAAGGUUGAGGAUUUGACAGAGCUAAACCAUAAACAAGCUAUUGAUUUGAGCUACCGGAGUGGACAAGUUGAUGCAUACGAGUAUAUAAUUGGAAAUAUGAAGAAUGUGGUGGCCUUCUCAAGUACAAUGAGAGCAACUGAUGAAGAGAUGAACUUGUCUAAAGGAACUGCUCCGGAUGGUCCUUCGUUGAACCUGAACCAUCUCGAAUGACAAGAACAUAUUCGUAGAACGUGUGUUCAUCAUCCUCAUUGGUAGUGAAUGUUUUUGGUGGCCUUCCAUUUAUUUGGUGGUGUUAAAUGUACAUGUAUGUUUGAAAUUAAUAACUCUUGGUUGGUUUCUCUGCAACUAGUAGUUUGAACUCUUGUUGGUAAAGCUGAAAGUUGGUGUUGAAU